GGGCGGUUAGCUCAGGGGUUAGAGCGCCUCGUUCACACCGAGGAGGUCGGAGGUUCAAAUCCUCCAUCGCCCACCA
rnacentral:tRNA from 1 species